CUCCCAAAGUGCUAGGAUUAUAGGCGUGAGCCACCUUGUCUGGCUCAAGAGGGAAUUUCAUGCUGUGUGUCAACCCACUUGUGCUCUCAGUGUCUUACAGACCAGUCUUGUGAAGUUGGUUAUCCCACUGGGGAGUGAUGGAGGCUGAUCUCUGAUGGAUGUAAGAAACUGUGCUGACUGUGAAUACAAUAAGAUAUCUGGUACAAACAGCAUCCGCUAUUCAAUUCUGAAGGGCCAGAAGUUGUUAUAAAAUGAUUGACACCAUUUAAAAUGCUUUUAGAAACAGCCUUUUAUAUUUGGGGUUUUAUCUGAUUGGCAAAUGGGGUUAUGGACUUUUGUUUUUUAAUCUUUUCAUUUUGCUUGUCAAGAUGUUGUUCAGUUGAUCAACCCCACAUCCUGGGCAAUUGUUAGUUAGCACAUUGCUGUUGUGGUCCUGUGGAAAUAAUAUUAUAAUUAUAUAUAAUAUUAUAUAAUAAUAAUAAUAACAAUAAUUGUUUGCCAGUGCUUCAUGGGCUUUGCCAUUCCACAGUAUGCAAGAUCACCCUGUGCGCUUUGUCAAGAUCUGUGAUAUUUCUGCGUGAUCAUUGUCUCAAGAUCUGGGCCAUUUUUGACCAUCUGGGCAGGCUGGGUUGCAGAAGGCACAUCUGCCUUGGGCAGCAGUUUGCUGCUACAGAAGGAUAAGGAAGAAGGCUGGAAUGCUCAUGUGGGGCUGGCGACCAGAAUGGAAUACAUUUGAGAGAUGAUGACGUUUAACAGCUGAACCAAAAUGAAACUCUGAUGAAGAAGCUGGGGUACAGAGAGUGGAAGAACCUGCUGGAGAUCAUAAAGCGAAUUUAGUUCAGUCAGGACUGCAAGCCGGUUUGUCUGACUACAAAGACUUUAGCCCUUUUCCUGGACACUCCCACUGCCUCUUUGCCAGAAAAACAGGACACCUCAAACCCAAGGUGAACUGCAAUUUCAAAAAUUAUGCCUUUGGAUUCAUUAAAUUUGCUUGAAUAUAAA